GGCCAGACUCCUACGGGAGGCAGCAGUGGGGAAUCUUCCGCAAUGGGCGAAAGCCUGACGGAGCAACGCCGCGUGAUCGAAUGAAGGCCUUCGGGUUGUAAAGAUCUGUUGACAGGGACGAAUAAGCAAUGCGAAUAGUUUUGUGUAUGACGGUACCUGUUUAGAAAGCUCCGGCUAACUACGUGCCAGCAGCCGCGGUAAUACGUAGGUGGCAAGCGUUGUCCGGAUUUACUGGGUGUAAAGGGCGUGUAGCCGGGCUGACAAGUCAGAUGUGAAAUUCCGGGGCUCAACCCCGGACCUGCAUUUGAAACUGUUGGUCUUGAGUAUCGGAGAGGCAGGCGGAAUUCCUAGUGUAGCGGUGAAAUGCGUAGAUAUUAGGAGGAACACCAGUGGCGAAGGCGUCUUACUGGACCGAAACUGACGUUGAGGCUCGAAAGCGUGGGGAGCAAACAGGAUUAGAUACCCCCGUA
rnacentral:rRNA from 1 species